GCCAUCGAAAGAGGUUCUUGAUGUUUGGCAUAAUGCGAAUGCUGUAUGCUUUGAUGUGGAUAGCACUGUGUGCAUAGACGAGGGCAUUGAUGAAUUUGCGGAGUUUUGUGGUGCUGGAAAGGCUGUAGCGGAAUGGACUGCUAGGGCCAUGAAUGGUUCUGUUCCAUUUGAAGAAGCAUUGGCAGUUCGUCUUUCUCUGAUUAACCCUUCAUUAUCCCAACUCCAGGAUUUUCUUAAGAGACCUCCACGACUUUCUCCUGGCAUUGAUCUAUUGGUCAAGAAGCUGAAGGAUAAUAAUAAAGAUGUUUAUCUGGUCUCUGGAGGGUUUCGUCAAAUGAUCAAUCCUGUUGCAUCAAUCCUCGGAAUACCACUUGAAAAUAUCUUUGCCAAUCAAAUACUCUUUGGGAGCAACGGAGAAUAUGUUGGGUUUGAUAAAAAUGAGCCAACUUCAAGGCGUGGCGGAAAGGCUACUGCAGUUCAACAAAUAAGAAAGGCUCAUGGAUACAAGUCACUAGUGAUGAUUGGUGAUGGUGCUACUGAUCUUGAGGCUCGUAUGCCAGGUGGUGCGGACUUGUUUAUUUGCUAUGGCGGAAUUCAACUACGGGAAUCAGUUGCAGCUAAAGCUGAUUGGUUGGUGUUUAAUUUUAAGGACUUGAUUAAUUCAUUGGUGUAAUGUGCUAUUGCAUCUAUACUCUUCCAUAUCUAUUUU
rnacentral:misc_RNA from 1 species